rnacentral:tRNA from 1 species
GACCCCUUAGCUCAGCUGGAUAGAGCAGAGCACUUCUAAUGCUCCGGUCGCUGGUUCGAAUCCAGCAGGGGUCG